rnacentral:rRNA from 1 species
AGCGUCUGGAAAGGCGCGCGAUACAGGGUGACAGCCCCGUACACAAAAAUGCACAUAUUGUGAGCUCGAUGAGUAGGGCGGGACACGUGGUAUCCUGUCUGAAUAUGGGGGGACCAUCCUCCAAGGCUAAAUACUCCUGACUGACCGAUAGUGAACCAGUACCGUGAGGGAAAGGCGAAAAGAACCCCGGCGAGGGGAGUGAAAAAGAACCUGAAACCGUGUACGUACAAGCAGUGGGAGCCUCUUUAUGGGGUGACUGCGUACCUUUUGUAUAAUGGGUCAGCGACUUAUAUUCUGUAGCAAGGUUAACCGAAUAGGGGAGCCGAAGGGAAACCGAGUCUUAACUGGGCGUUAAGUUGCAGGGUAUAGACCCGAAACCCGGUGAUCUAGCCAUGGGCAGGUUGAAGGUUGGGUAACACUAACUGGAGGACCGAACCGACUAAUGUUGAAAAAUUAGCGGAUGACUUGUGGCUGGGGGUGAAAGGCCAAUCAAACCGGGAGAUAGCUGGUUCUCCCCGAAAGCUAUUUAGGUAGCGCCUCGUGAAUUCAUCUCCGGGGGUAGAGCACUGUUUCGGCAAGGGGGUCAUCCCGACUUACCAACCCGAUGCAAACUGCGAAUACCGGAGAAUGUUAUCACGGGAGACACACGGCGGGUGCUAACGUCCGUCGUGAAGAGGGAAACAACCCAGACCGCCAGCUAAGGUCCCAAAGUCAUGGUUAAGUGGGAAACGAUGUGGGAAGGCCCAGACAGCCAGGAUGUUGGCUUAGAAGCAGCCAUCAUUUAAAGAAAGCGUAAUAGCUCACUGGUCGAGUCGGCCUGCGCGGAAGAUGUAACGGGGCUAAACCAUGCACCGAAGCUGCGGCAGCGACACUAUGUGUUGUUGGGUAGGGGAGCGUUCUGUAAGCCUGUGAAGGUGGCCUGUGAGGGUUGCUGGAGGUAUCAGAAGUGCGAAUGCUGACAUAAGUAACGAUAAAGCGGGUGAAAAGCCCGCUCGCCGGAAGACCAAGGGUUCCUGUCCAACGUUAAUCGGGGCAGGGUGAGUCGACCCCUAAGGCGAGGCCGAAAGGCGUAGUCGAUGGGAAACAGGUUAAUAUUCCUGUACUUGGUGUUACUGCGAAGGGGGGACGGAGAAGGCUAUGUUGGCCGGGCGACGGUUGUCCCGGUUUAAGCGUGUAGGCUGGUUUUCCAGGCAAAUCCGGAAAACCAAGGCUGAGGCGUGAUGACGAGGCACUACGGUGCUGAAGCGACAAAUGCCCUGCUUCCAGGAAAAGCCUCUAAGCAUCAGGUAACAUCAAAUCGUACCCCAAACCGACACAGGUGGUCAGGUAGAGAAUACCAAGGCGCUUGAGAGAACUCGGGUGAAGGAACUAGGCAAAAUGGUGCCGUAACUUCGGGAGAAGGCACGCUGAUAUGUAGGUGAAGCGACUUGCUCGUGGAGCUGAAAUCAGUCGAAGAUACCAGCUGGCUGCAACUGUUUAUUAAAAACACAGCACUGUGCAAACACGAAAGUGGACGUAUACGGUGUGACGCCUGCCCGGUGCCGGAAGGUUAAUUGAUGGGGUUAGCGGUAACGCGAAGCUCUUGAUCGAAGCCCCGGUAAACGGCGGCCGUAACUAUAACGGUCCUAAGGUAGCGAAAUUCCUUGUCGGGUAAGUUCCGACCUGCACGAAUGGCGUAAUGAUGGCCAGGCUGUCUCCACCCGAGACUCAGUGAAAUUGAACUCGCUGUGAAGAUGCAGUGUACCCGCGGCAAGACGGAAAGACCCCGUGAACCUUUACUAUAGCUUGACACUGAACAUUGAGCCUUGAUGUGUAGGAUAGGUGGGAGGCUUUGAAGUGUGGACGCCAGUCUGCAUGGAGCCGACCUUGAAAUACCACCCUUUAAUGUUUGAUGUUCUAACGUUGGCCCGUAAUCCGGGUUGCGGACAGUGUCUGGUGGGUAGUUUGACUGGGGCGGUCUCCUCCUAAAGAGUAACGGAGGAGCACGAAGGUUGGCUAAUCCUGGUCGGACAUCAGGAGGUUAGUGCAAUGGCAUAAGCCAGCUUGACUGCGAGCGUGACGGCGCGAGCAGGUGCGAAAGCAGGUCAUAGUGAUCCGGUGGUUCUGAAUGGAAGGGCCAUCGCUCAACGGAUAAAAGGUACUCCGGGGAUAACAGGCUGAUACCGCCCAAGAGUUCAUAUCGACGGCGGUGUUUGGCACCUCGAUGUCGGCUCAUCACAUCCUGGGGCUGAAGUAGGUCCCAAGGGUAUGGCUGUUCGCCAUUUAAAGUGGUACGCGAGCUGGGUUUAGAACGUCGUGAGACAGUUCGGUCCCUAUCUGCCGUGGGCGCUGGAGAACUGAGGGGGGCUGCUCCUAGUACGAGAGGACCGGAGUGGACGCAUCACUGGUGUUCGGGUUGUCAUGCCAAUGGCACUGCCCGGUAGCUAAAUGCGGAAGAGAUAAGUGCUGAAAGCAUCUAAGCACGAAACUUGC